UACGGAGGGGGCAAGCGUUAUCCGGAAUUACUGGGUGUAAAGGGAGCGUAGGCGGCAUGGUAAGCCAGAUGUGAAAGCCCGCGGCUUAACCGCGCGGAUUGCAUUUGGAACUAUCAAGCUAGAGUACAGGAGAGGAAAGCGGAAUUCCUAGUGUAGCGGUGAAAUGCGUAGAUAUUAGGAGGAACACCAGUGGCGAAGGCGGCCUGCUGGACGGUGACUGACGCUGAGGCUCGAAAGCGUGGGGAGCAAACAGG
rnacentral:rRNA from 1 species